CAGCAGCCACGGUAAUACAGAGGGUGCAAGCGUUAAUCGGAAUUACUGGGCGUAAAGCGCGCGUAGGUGGUUUGUUAAGUUGGAUGUGAAAUCCCCGGGCUCAACCUGGGAACUGCAUCCAAAACUGGCAAGCUAGAGUAUGGUAGAGGGUGGUGGAAUUUCCUGUGUAGCGGUGAAAUGCGUAGAUAUAGGAAGGAACACCAGUGGCGAAGGCGACCACCUGGACUGAUACUGACACUGAGGUGCGAAAGCGUGGGGAGCAAACAGGAUUAGAGACCCCAGUAGUCCCUGUCUCUUAUAA
rnacentral:rRNA from 1 species